rnacentral:rRNA from 1 species
GGGAUUAGAUACCCUGUUAUUUAAAGAUAUAAAUCUAGUUUUAGCUGCCAGGGCAUUACGAACACAUGUUUAAAACUCAAAGGAAUUGGCGGUGCUAUAACCAACUAGGGGAACCUGUUCCUUAAUUCGAUGACCCACGAGAAUCUUACCUAUUUUAGUCUAUCAGUUUAUAUACCGUCGUUUAACUAACCUCUUAAGAGUAAAAAAGUUAGUAAGAAAAGGCCAUUCUCCUAAUAAAACAGAUAAAGGUGUAGCUAAUGAAUAGGGGAAGAAUGUGUUACAAUUAAUAAUUUGUUAAUGGACUCAAGAUGAAACUUCUUGGAAGAAAGAGGACUUAGAAGUAAUUUCUUUAAUGACCUGAAAUGAAUACGGCUCUAUAGUGUGCACAAAUCGCCCGUCACUCUCUG